rnacentral:rRNA from 1 species
UACGUAGGCAGCAAGCGUUGUUCGGAAUUACUGGGCGUAAAGAGUGUGUAGGCGGUGUUCCAAGUCUGUUGUGAAAUCUCCCGGCUUAACUGGGAGGGUGCGGCGGAAACUGGGAUGCUAGAGGAUGGGAGAGGUGAGCGGAAUUCCUGGUGUAGCGGUGAAAUGCGUAGAUAUCAGGAGGAACACCUGUGGUGUAGACAGCUUACUGGACCAUUUCUGACGCUGAGACACGAAAGCGUGGGUAGCAAACAGG